GGGCCUCUUGCCAUCGGAUGUGCCCAGAUGGGAUUAGCUAGUAGGUGGGGUAAUGGCUCACCUAGGCGACGAUCCCUAGCUGGUCUGAGAGGAUGACCAGCCACACUGGAACUGAGACACGGUCCAGACUCCUACGGGAGGCAGCAGUGGGGAAUAUUGCACAAUGGGCGCAAGCCUGAUGCAGCCAUGCCGCGUGUGUGAAGAAGGCCUUCGGGUUGUAAAGCACUUUCAGCGGGGAGGAAGGCAAUACGGUUAAUAACCGUGUUGAUUGACGUUACCCGCAGAAGAAGCACCGGCUAACUCCGUGCCAGCAGCCGCGGUAAUACGGAGGGUGCAAGCGUUAAUCGGAAUUACUGGGCGUAAAGCGCACGCAGGCGGUCUGUCAAGUCGGAUGUGAAAUCCCCGGGCUCAACCUGGGAACUGCAUUCGAAACUGGCAGGCUUGAGUCUUGUAGAGGGGGGUAGAAUUCCAGGUGUAGCGGUGAAAUGCGUAGAGAUCUGGAGGAAUCCCCGUGGCGAAGGCGGCCCCUCUGGACAAAGACUGAC
rnacentral:rRNA from 1 species